rnacentral:snRNA from 11 species
AUAUUUAGCUAGCAGGAGAGAUACUUUGAUCAUGAAAGACAUUUUUACCAGAUGAAAAGUUUCACAAUGUAAGGCACAUCCACUGCACUCCAGGUGUACCUAUUUAUCCCUAUGGGUUCCCCAGAUGUAGGAAACUCAACUGCAUAAUUUAUGGUAGUGUAGCUUUGCUUUU